UACGUAGGGGGCAAGCGUUGUCCGGAAUCAUUGGGCGUAAAGAGCGUGUAGGCGGCUUGGUAAGUCCGCUGUGAAAGUCCAGGGCUCAACCCUGGAAAGCCGGUGGAAACUGUCAAGCUUGAGUCCGGAAGAGGCGAGUGGAAUUCCUGGUGUAGCGGUGAAAUGCGCAGAUAUCGGGAGGAACACCAGUGGCGAAGGCGCCCUGCUGGGCGGGCCCUGACGCUGAGGCGCGAAAGCUAGGGGAGCGAACGGA
rnacentral:rRNA from 1 species